rnacentral:lncRNA from 1 species
CCUAUCGAAACAGCUUGCAACAAUCUGCAACCACUUUGCAACCAUAAAAGAACCAAGCAAAUAUGCUCUUUGCGAUUGUUAAGUAGUACCUUGAUUUUUCAAUCCAAACUCUAAAAACUUUUGACGAAGAGGACCUUACAAGCUCUCAAAUAAGUUAGAGACUAAGUCUACGAAGGGUAUCCUUUUAUAAUGUGUCUUAUCCAUUAGAGGCAGUAUUUAAAUCAAUCGUAAGGAUCGGAAGAUGGACGUUAUCCAUGAUGGU